rnacentral:rRNA from 1 species
AAUGACGGUACUUGAGGAAUAAGCAUCGGCUAACUCCGUGCCAGCAGCCGCGGUAAUACGGAGGAUGCAAGCGUUAUCCGGAAUGAUUGGGCGUAAAGGGUCUGUAGGUGGUACUGAAAGUCUGCUGUUAAAGAGCAAGGCUCAACCUUGUAAGAGCAGUGGAAACUACAGAACUGGAGUGCGGUAGGGGCAAAAGGAAUUCCUGGUGUAGCGGUGAAAUGCGUAGAUAUCAGGAAGAACACCGGUGGCGAAAGCGUUUUGCUAGACCGCAACUGACACUGAGGGACGAAAGCUAGGGGAGCGAAUGGGAUUAGAUAC